rnacentral:rRNA from 1 species
AGAGUUUGAUCCUGGCUCAGGAUGAACGCCGGCGGUGUGCCUAAUACAUGCAAGUCGUACGCACUGGCCCAACUGAUUGAUGGUGCUUGCACCUGAUUGACGAUGGAUCACCAGUGAGUGGCGGACGGGUGAGUAACACGUAGGUAACCUGCCCCGGAGCGGGGGAUAACAUUUGGAAACAGAUGCUAAUACCGCAUAACAACAAAAGCCGCAUGGCUUUUGUUUGAAAGAUGGCUUUGGCUAUCACUCUGGGAUGGACCUGCGGUGCAUUAGCUAGUUGGUAAGGUAACGGCUUACCAAGGCGAUGAUGCAUAGCCGAGUUGAGAGACUGAUCGGCCACAAUGGAACUGAGACACGGUCCAUACUCCUACGGGAGGCAGCAGUAGGGAAUCUUCCACAAUGGGCGCAAGCCUGAUGGAGCAACACCGCGUGAGUGAAGAAGGGUUUCGGCUCGUAAAGCUCUGUUGUUGGAGAAGAACGUGCGUGAGAGUAACUGUUCACGCAGUGACGGUAUCCAACCAGAAAGUCACGGCUAACUACGUGCCAGCAGCCGCGGUAAUACGUAGGUGGCAAGCGUUAUCCGGAUUUAUUGGGCGUAAAGCGAGCGCAGGCGGUUGCUUAGGUCUGAUGUGAAAGCCUUCGGCUUAACCGAAGAAGUGCAUCGGAAACCGGGCGACUUGAGUGCAGAAGAGGACAGUGGAACUCCAUGUGUAGCGGUGGAAUGCGUAGAUAUAUGGAAGAACACCAGUGGCGAAGGCGGCUGUCUGGUCUGCAACUGACGCUGAGGCUCGAAAGCAUGGGUAGCGAACAGGAUUAGAUACCCUGGUAGUCCAUGCCGUAAACGAUGAGUGCUAGGUGUUGGAGGGUUUCCGCCCUUCAGUGCCGCAGCUAACGCAUUAAGCACUCCGCCUGGGGAGUACGACCGCAAGGUUGAAACUCAAAGGAAUUGACG